AACGAACGCUGGCGGCAGGCCUAACACAUGCAAGUCGAGCGGACAUCUUCGGAUGUUAGCGGCGGACGGGUGAGUAACGCGUGUGAACGUGCCCUUUGCUUCGGAAUAGCCUCGGGAAACUGGGAGUAAUACCGGAUGUACCCUUUGGGGGAAAGAUUUAUCGGCAAAGGAUCGGCCCGCGUUGGAUUAGGUAGUUGGUGGGGUAAUGGCCUACCAAGCCGACGAUCCAUAGCUGGUUUGAGAGGAUGAUCAGCCACACUGGGACUGAGACACGGCCCAGACUCCUACGGGAGGCAGCAGUGGGGAAUCUUAGACAAUGGGGGAAACCCUGAUCUAGCCAUGCCGCGUGAGCGAUGAAGGCCUUAGGGUUGUAAAGCUCUUUCACCGGGGAAGAUAAUGACGGUACCCGGAGAAGAAGCCCCGGCUAACUCCGUG
rnacentral:rRNA from 1 species